rnacentral:lncRNA from 10 species
AAUCCCACCACCUUUUGCUGACUCUCUUUUCGGACUUAGCCCGCCUGCACCCAGGUGAUUAAAAAGCUUUAUUGCUCACACAAAGCCUGUUUGGUGGUCUCCUCACACGGACGUGCAUGACAUUUGGUGCCAAAGACCUGGGACAGGAGGACUCCUUCGGGAGACCAGUACCCUGUCCUCGCCCUCACUCUGUGAGAAGAUCCACCUAUGACCUCGGGUCCUCAGACCAGCCAGCCCAAGGAACAUCUCACCAAUUUCAAAUCGGAGACAGAGGAGACGUGCUUUAUCCAUGAACCCAAAACUCUGGUGCUGGUCACGGACUCAGGAAAACAGUCUUACCUCGGUGUUUAAUCACUGUGCGGAUGCCUGCCUGAUUAUUCACCCACAUUUCAGAGGUGUCUGAUCACCACGGGGACGCCUGCCUUGAUCCUUCACCUUGGUGAUGAACAGGAAAGAGUUUCUUCUCUAGCCCAAUCUCACACUGACAACCACCGGCUUCAUGAGCCAGGCCUCCAGGAAGGCAUUAGAGCAGUUCCCCGAGAA